GAUGAAGAACGUAGCGAAAUGCGAUAAGUAAUGUGAAUUGCAGAAUUCAGUGAAUCAUCGAAUCUUUGAACGCACCUUGCACCCUUUGGCUAUUCCGAAGGGUAUGCCUGUUUGAGUAUCAUGAACACCUCAACUCUCAUGGUUUGCCAUGAUGAGCUUGGACUUUGGGGGUCUUGCUGGCCUGUGGUCAGCUCCUCUCAAAUGGAUUAGCUUGCCAGUGUUUGGUGGCAUCACAGGUGUGAUAACUAUCUACGCUUGUGGUUUUCCACCAGGUAACCUUCAGCAAUGGGGGUUCGCUGGGGCUCAUAAAUGUCUCUCCUCAGCGAGGACAGCUCUUUGAACGUUUGAUCUCAAAUCAGGUAGGACUACCCGCUGAACUUAAGCAUAUAAUAAGCGGAGGA
rnacentral:misc_RNA from 1 species